GACGAACGCUGGCGGCGUGCUUAACACAUGCAAGUCGAACGGAAAGGCCCUGCUUUUGCGGGGUGCUCGAGUGGCGAACGGGUGAGUAACACGUGAGUAACCUGCCCUUGACUUUGGGAUAACUUCAGGAAACUGGGGCUAAUACCGGAUAGGAGCUCCUGCUGCAUGGUGGGGGUUGGAAAGUUUCGGCGGUUGGGGAUGGACUCGCAGCUUAUCAGCUUGUUGGUGGGGUAGUGGCUUACCAAGGCUUUGACGGGUAGCCGGCCUGAGAGGGUGACCGGCCACAUUGGGACUGAGAUACGGCCCAGACUCCUACGGGAGGCAGCAGUGGGGAAUAUUGCAGAAUGGGCGGAAGCCUGAUGCAGCAACGCCGCGUGCGGGAUAACGGCCUUCGGGUUGUAAACCGCUUUCGCCUGUGACGAAGCGUGAGUGACGGUAAUGGGUAAGGAAGCACCGGCUAACUACGUG
rnacentral:rRNA from 1 species